CAGCCGCCGCGGUAAUACCGGCGGCCCGAGUGGCGGUCACUAUUAUUGGGCUUAAAGCGUCCGUAGCCGGGUUGGGAAGUCCUCCGGGAAAUCUGGCCGCUUAACGGUCAGAAUGCCGGAGGAUACUCCCAGCCUAGGGAGCGGGGGAGGCCGAGGGGAUUCCCGGAGUAGGGGUGAAAUCCUAUAAUCCCGGGAGGACCGCCUGUGGCGAAGGCGCUCGGCUGGAACGCGUCCGACGGUGAGGGACGAAGGCCAGGGGAGCAAACCGGAUUAGAUACCCGGGUAGUCCUGGCUGUAAACGAUGCGGACUUUGUGUCGGACAAGCUAUGAGCUUGUCCGGUGCCGGAGGGAAACCGUUAAGUCCGCCGCCUGGGGAGUACGGCCGCAAGGCUGAAACUUAAAGGAAUUGGCGGG
rnacentral:rRNA from 1 species